rnacentral:rRNA from 1 species
AUUAGUCAAUGCUCGCAAGAGUGAACUAGCUAACUGAAAUCAUAUUUGUGACAAAUGUGAUGUCGUAAGGGAAAAUAAUGAUAUUACCUUACUAAUAGUGUCGUCUAAAACUGGUGCCAGAAGACUCGGUAAGGCCAGAGACACAAAUGUUAAUCGUCUUAAUCAGGCGUAAAGGGUUUGUAGGCUGCUUUGAAAAUAUUAAUUUAAUAUAGCGAAAGUAAAUUAAUAUCAAUUAAAGCUAGAAUCAAAUUGAGGAUAUUUACGAAAUAAUGCUUGGUCGAGGGCUGAUAUCCGAAGACACCAAGUGGAGUUCCAAUGGCGUAAGCAUUUAUCCAUUAAUGAUUGACGCUGAGAAACGAAGGUGAGGAUAGGAAAUAGGAUUAGAUACCCAGAUACCCCUCUCUGUAAACGAUGAAUGGUAGUUUGUUAAUCUCUAGAUAGAUUAGUGACAAAGUUAACACGUUAACCAUUCCGCCUUGUGAGUACGACUGCAAAGUUGAAAACAAAAAAAUUAGUCGGUCUCGGAGCAAACGAAGUGAAGUAUGUUAUUUA